rnacentral:rRNA from 1 species
UACGUAGGUGGCAAGCGUUGUCCGGAUUUACUGGGCGUAAAGCGCGCGCAGGCGGCUAUCCAAGUCAGUGGUGAAAGCCCGGAGCUCAACUCCGGAACUGCCAUUGAAACUGUUUAGCUUGAGGACGAGAGAGGUGAGUGGAAUUCCCAGUGUAGAGGUGAAAUUCGUAGAUAUUGGGAAGAACACCGGUGGCGAAGGCGGCUCACUGGCUCGUUUCUGACGCUCAGGCGCGAUAGCGUGGGGAUCAAACAGG